UUUGCACUAUUAAUCAGAAAUAGUUCACAGUUUAUGAGCGUAUUUCCUUCAUGCAGUGCAUAGAAUAAUGUUUUCAUACUCACUUUACCCUCAGGUGCUUCAAACUAACUUAGUUUGAUUUUUCGUUGCCUGCGGGCCAUACAUGUAUGAUAUAUUUCAUUUUUCCUUUUCUCAUUUGUAUUUGACAUUUGAAUGAUUCUAUUUAUGCAUUGAAUUUAUUAGUUUUUUGUAUCUUCAAAUUACCAAUUUCUUUUUUUUUAUAGCUUUUUCUAUUUGUAAUACAGUUUCACUUUAUCAACACA